UAUGGAAUUGUGUCCGAGCCGCGGUAAUACGGAGGAUGCGAGCGUUAUCCGGAUUUAUUGGGUUUCAAGGGAGCGUAGACGGGUUUUUAAGUCAGCUGUGAAAGUUUGGGGCUCAACCUUAAAAUUGCAGUUGAAACUGGAGACCUUGAGUACGGUUGAGGCAGGCGGAAUUCGUGGUGUAGCGGUGAAAUGCUUAGAUAUCACGAAGAACCCCGAUUGCGAAGGCAGCCUGCUAAGCCGCCACUGACGUUGAGGCUCGAAAGUGCGGGUAUCAAACAGG
rnacentral:rRNA from 1 species